AGCAGCGUGGCUCAGUGGAAAGAGCACGGGCUUUGGAGUCAGGGUUCAUGAGUUCAAAUCUCAGCUCUGCCA
rfam:Ornithorhynchus anatinus chromosome 3, whole genome shotgun sequence.